rnacentral:rRNA from 1 species
AACGCGAAGAACCUUACCUAGGCUUGACAUGCAUUUCUAAGCGCGUGAAAGCGCGUGACCCUUCGGGGGACUUGCACAGGUGCUGCAUGGCCGUCGUCAGCUCGUGUCGUGAGAUGUUGGGUUAAGUCCCGCAACGAGCGCAACCCUUGUGAAUAGUUGCCAGCGGUUCGGCCGGGAACUCUAUUCAGACUGCCCAGAUCAACUGGGAGGAAGGUGGGGACGACGUCAGGUCAGUAUGGCCCUUACGCCUAGGGCUGCACACGUACUACAAUGCCCGGCACAAUGAGAACCGAGACCGCGAGGUGGAGGAAAUCUGGAAAACCGGGCCCAGUUCGGAUUGGAGGCUGCAACCCGCCUCCAUGAAGUCGGAAUCGCUAGUAAUGGCGCAUCAGCUACGGCGCCGUGAAUACGUUCCCGGGUCUUGUACACACCG